rnacentral:rRNA from 2 species
GACGAGGCACUACGGUGCUGAAGCAACAAAUGCCCUGCUUCCAGGAAAAGCCUCUAAGCAUCAGGUAACAUCAAAUCGUACCCCAAACCGACACAGGUGGUCAGGUAGAGAAUACCAAGGCGCUUGAGAGAACUCGGGUGAAGGAACUAGGCAAAAUGGUGCCGUAACUUCGGGAGAAGGCACGCUGACACGUAGGUGAAGUGAUUUACUCACGGAGCUGAAGUCAGUCGAAGAUACCAGCUGGCUGCAACUGUUUAUUAAAAACACAGCACUGUGCAAACACGAAAGUGGACGUAUACGGUGUGACGCCUGCCCGGUGCCGGAAGGUUAAUUGAUGGGGUCAGCGCAAGCGAAGCUCCUGAUCGAAGCCCCGGUAAACGGCGGCCGUAACUAUAACGGUCCUAAGGUAGCGAAAUUCCUUGUCGGGUAAGUUCCGACCUGCACGAAUGGCGUAAUGAUGGCCAGGCUGUCUCCACCCGAGACUCAGUGAAAUUGAACUCGCUGUGAAGAUGCAGUGUACCCGCGGCAAGACGGAAAGACCCCGUGAACCUUUACUAUAGCUUGACACUGAACAUUGAGCCUUGAUGUGUAGGAUAGGUGGGAGGCUUUGAAGUGUGGACGCCAGUCUGCAUGGAGCCGACCUUGAAAUACCACCCUUUAAUGUUUGAUGUUCUAACGUGGACCCGUAAUCCGGGUUGCGGACAGUGUCUGGUGGGUAGUUUGACUGGGGCGGUCUCCUCCUAAAGAGUAACGGAGGAGCACGAAGGUUGGCUAAUCCUGGUCGGACAUCAGGAGGUUAGUGCAAUGGCAUAAGCCAGCUUGACUGCGAGCGUGACGGCGCGAGCAGGUGCGAAAGCAGGUCAUAGUGAUCCGGUGGUUCUGAAUGGAAGGGCCAUCGCUCAACGGAUAAAAGGUACUCCGGGGAUAACAGGCUGAUACCGCCCAAGAGUUCAUAUCGACGGCGGUGUUUGGCACCUCGAUGUCGGCUCAUCACAUCCUGGGGCUGAAGUAGGUCCCAAGGGUAUGGCUGUUCGCCAUUUAAAGUGGUACGCGAGCUGGGUUUAGAACGUCGUGAGACAGUUCGGUCCCUAUCUGCCGUGGGCGCUGGAGAACUGAGGGGGGCUGCUCCUAGUACGAGAGGACCGGAGUGGACGCAUCACUGGUGUUCGGGUUGUCAUGCCAAUGGCACUGCCCGGUAGCUAAAUGCGGAAGAGAUAAGUGCUGAAAGCAUCUAAGCACGAAACUUGCCCCGAGAUGAGUUCUCCCUGAGACUUAGAGUCUCCUGAAGGAACGUUGAAGACGACGACGUUGAUAGGCCGGGUGUGUAAGCGCAGCGAUGCGUUGAGCUAACCGGUACUAAUGAACCGUGAGGCUUAACCUU